rnacentral:rRNA from 1 species
GGAAUUUUGCGCAAUGGGCGAAAGCCUGACGCAGCAACGCCGCGUGAGUGUUGAAGGCCUUCGGGUCGUAAAGCUCUGUCAGAGGGGACGAACCACCUGAGGGUUAAUAUCCUUCAGGCCUGCCGGUACCCUCAAAGGAAGCCCCGGCUAACCCCGUGCCAGCAGCCGCGGUAAUACGGAGGGUGCAAGCGUUGUUCGGAAUUAUUGGGCGUAAAGCGCGUGUAGGCGGUCUGUUAAGUCUGAUGUGAAAGCCCCGGGCUCAACCCGGGAAGUGCAUUGGAAACUGGCAGACUUGAGUACGGGAGAGGGUAGUGGAAUUCCGAGUGUAGGGGUGAAAUCCGUAGAUAUUCGGAGGAACACCGGUGGCGAAGGCCGCUACCUGGACCGAUACUGACGCUGAGACGCGAAGGCGUGGGGAGCAAA